GACCGCGGCCGUGCGGGGGCACCGGGAGCGGCCGCCCCGGAGGGCGAAAUGUGGAGGGCACCGAGAAGUGUGAGGAGUCAUGAAGUGCGGGAACAGAUGGUAUUCAUCUCUGGGAGACAGGAAAUGUGAGAGGGGAUAUGAAAGGAAUGAAACAGGCCAAAAUAACCAGCAGUCCCUACAGCCCCAAGCAAAGCAUCCCUUGGAGGGAUCAGCAGUCUGUGCAAGGAUGCAGCUGUUGCUACAGGACAGCCUUGAAACUCUGAAUGCAGAAUAACAAGAAGUUAGGGGCCUUUCUCUCCUGUUAUUCCUUGUAAUUUAUGUAAAUAUAUUCUGGGAUCAAAAUGCUCUACAUUUCCUGAGAAAUUAUGAUGACAACUUCAACAAAGGCACAACUGUAUCCUUUUAUCA